GAUGUGUCAGGUGAAAGCUUGGGUCCAGGUUUGCACGUUGCUCAUUAUACUAAGUACUGUUCAUUCAUCCUGUACAUUAUGAUCAUAAUCAAUCAGGUUUACUGUGAGGUACCAACCACCAAAGGUUGUGCCCAAUGUAUCUCUGUUAUUACGAUUCUCUUUAUGUACCUCUGUCUUGGUCUAUGUUAAGUUGCCUGAUUUAUCUUUAUAUGAUGAUGUUAUGCUUGUCCUGGAUGUAACUGACAGAUUUAUGCUGAAGGUUUAACAUAGUUUAUUAUUAUUCAGAUAUCAAGCUCCCUGCUCUAUGCACACGAUUUGACGUGCCUCAUAUUUUUAGAUGAAUAAUUCUGUCGUGGCGCCCACUAGGCACUAUAUAGAGCAAAGGCAGAACCGCAUUUGGAAUUGUACUUGAACAGUUCUCUGUACAGCUUGAACCCUCCAGAAAGACACAUUCACACACAAUUUUUAGUCUCAUCUAGGUAACAUUAGCCUUCAUGUAAUAUUUUUGGAUACGCU